rnacentral:rRNA from 1 species
AUUGAACGCUGGCGGUAUGCUUUACACAUGCCAGUCGAACGGCAGCACGGUAGCAGCCCGGUUUUCGGGUUGCGAACUGGUGAGUAAUACAUCGGAACAUCCCCAGUCGCUUGUUAGAAGGGGGUGAAGUUGAGGCAAUUACGCCAAUCCAUCUUAGGAUCAACGCGUGGCAGCUUGGGCCCUUCGGCCAUCGCACGAUCCGAUGUCAGAUUAGGUAGUUGGUGGGUUAAAGGCCUACCAAGCCGACGAUCCGUAGCUGGUCUGAGAGGACGACCAGCCACACUGGGACUGAGACACGGCCCAGACUCCUACGGGAGGCAGCAGUGGGGAAUAUUGGACAAUGGGCGCAAGCCUGAUCCAGCCAUACCGCGUGGAGGAAGAAGGCCUUCGGGUUGUAAAGUGCUUUUGUACGGAAAGAAAAGCAUCUGGCUAAUACCUGGGGGUCCUGACGGUACCGAAAGAAUAAGCACCGGCUAACUACGUG